rnacentral:lncRNA from 1 species
GGAUCGUGGAUCGGAGAUCGUUCGGUGGUCGCGUGCGAAUUGGGUCGAGCCGAGCGGCGUGCGCCGCGCGAUGCCGAUUGCGAGUGACGACGAGCAAUCGGAACGCGAUAAAAGGUGGGGGGUGUCCAUCCUGAAGCAACUGAGUUCUUCCUAUGUCCGAGUUAGACUUGUUGAUCAUGUUCCAUGUAUUCACUCUUAUGCAUUAUACGAUAUUGUUAUAAAUGUAUUCCUUCCUUGCAUGCUUGUUUAGUAGUGUAGCUUGGUGGCUUGACACAUGAUUCUAAGGGGCAUGAGGAUUGGGUAGUUUGGCAUGAGAUCCUAUAGUGAUAUGAAUUGGCGAACUUAAACUUGGUAACGAGAACCAAUAGAUUGUAAAUUAGUGUAUUAUAAACACUUAUAACUUGGACGAGUGGCAUAUAAACAAUGAUCAUGACAAUGACGAGUGGCAUCGGAACCUAGUUGUGGCAUAUUGCAUGAGAAUUGAGUGUAGUUGAUACUAAGACAUUGAACAUAGGGAUUAGUGGAGUUUCCCUAGUUAUGAUAUAUUGCCUGGGUGAAUUUCCCUAGUUGCAAUUCAUGUAGAGAACCUAAAGUGUUAUGUUGAUAAUCCUAGAUGGUAGGGUAUUCCUGGUUCCCAAGAAUUGGAUCGUGCUCUCAUAGCCUGUCUGUGCUUGUAGUGGUAGCUCCACACAAGUUGUGCACUCCGGAGUAGUUGUCACUUGAGGGGCAGUCGAGAGAGCUGCCCGGACAGUCGGUGAGCUGUCCGCAGGCGGUCUCGGGGGAUAGUUCAGCGAGACUUCUCCCCUAUAAGACUUAAAAAAUGUGAAAUUGAGAACGAGUUUUUGGGUUAGCCAAUGAUUGGGUAAGUUGAUGAAUAGCCUUGUUGAUGAACAUAGUAGUAUGGUAGCUAGCCUUUACUAUGAGCUACAUUGUUAUUGAGCAUAGUCGCUUGGUAGUUAGCCUUGUGGAUUUGCCUUCAUACCGUGAGUGAGCAUACUAUUCCUUUACCUAUGAGAUUUGAGCGGGACAGCCUUGUACCUAGUAGAGCGAGAUUGAGUCGGGCGAGGAGCGGGGUAGGCCUAGGACCUUCGAGAUUGAGUCGGGCGAGGAGCGGGGUAGCUCUUUGCUUAGGACCUUCGAGAUAUGAGUUGGGUGAGAUAAGAGCGGGGUAGCUCUUCACUUAUGUGGUUUGAGAUUUUAGGAAGGUUAGUCGAGUGGAUUGGGUUGUGAGGACAAGAGCGGGGUAGCUCUUCCCCUACAGGAUUUGAAGUCUUAGGCGGGGUAGCCUAAUGAAUUGGGUAAUGACAUGAAUAGCAUAAGCGGAUUUGCAUUUAUACCAUGAUUAGACAUAAUGGACUGCAUAACUAUGUGGUAGUUGUAUUCAUCACAUUGUUGAAGCAUACUAGCUUGAUAGAAGGUUGUUGCUAGAUGAUGUUCUAUGCAUUCCUUGCAUUUGAUGGCAUAGUAGAUUAUAGUAGCAGUUUAUUUCUAUCUACCUUUCUAUCUAUCUAUCUGUGCCAGCUUAGACCUAGUGGGAAGAUCGGCGGAGUCGGCGGCCGAACCCACUAGGAACUAUAUUUAUGUAGUUCUCACCCCAUUUUACUGCAGGGCCGAGUGCGAGCGUUCCGGGGGAGGAUCGCGGUAAGGGCAUAGCGCCCUAGUGUAGUGACUUUCCAUUAUGCAUUAGAGCUACCUUUUGUAUAUGAGCGUAGAUGAUGUAUAGGUGUGAGGCUAUUUUGGAAAAUGUAAACUUAUGUUCAUGUUUUCGAAGUUUAAGUGUAAUCAAGUUGUAUUAAAAAUGAUUGAAUGAAUGUAAUAGAUUAGUAUCUCUCUCUUUUAUUCACUUGUUUAUUACUUGUGAUGCUUGCUCUUACUUGUUUAGCACUGGUUAUGCUCUCGUCGUUGUUGCUGAUUGUGUACGUAUUCAAGUGCUUUCCGAAGAACUUGUUGUACAUAAUCUCGUCGCUUUAGCCUUGGGCGGAUAGGGGAGGUGUUGUCCGUCCGGCGUCUGUCCGACGCGCCCGAACCGGACCAAAUUGGUAGCGGUCUCGGGGCGUGACGGAUAAAGUGGUGUCAGAGCGAGUUAAGAGCAAGUAAAGAGAGAGUCUAGAACUGACCUAGGAGACUCUAGGACGGUGAACCUUAAGGCUAUAGGCGCGUGAGUGCGACGUGAGCCUUUACGGGUGGCGGAAGUCGAUCGAUUGGGUCGAAGUUGAUUGUAUGUCUCCAGUUGUGGCUAGAGAUGGAUUCAAGUGGUAUGAGUUCUUGACUUGAAGUGGUUGUGUUGGGCGGCCGGCAACACGACACUAAGAGUUUGGAACAAGUACACUUGUGUGCUUCCGCUUGAUUUGCGAUGUUGAGUCGCGUUGUUUCGCUAUUGUGGCGACGUUAACGGGUUAAGGUGAUUAACCAAGUUGUUGUGUUUCAGGAGCUAAUGGCACCAAUGAGACACUACGUGCAUAGAUCCGUUCCGGCACAGCCUGCUGAGGUGCCAGAACAAGCUGGGUCAAGUGAGGUGCAAGAACUGCGGGCGCAGAUGACUGCACUAGUUGGCGUGGUUCAACGCCAAGGGAGUCUGAUCGAGCGGCUCCAGGAGCUUUUGUAGCGGCUGGUAGCGGCGGCGGCCGCGACGGCAACUGAAGGUCGUGGUUCGCCUGCGCCCUCAAUUCGCGCGCUUGAUGCGGCUGAGGGUGAGGGCCUUGCAGCGGUUCCGGUGGCGGCACAUUCCCCGCCGGUUAGUGUUCCUCUGGCGGCUUCGGGUUCUGCAAUACUCAAUGCGGCGGCUGAGGAGGUGGAAUGGGAGUGCAAGGCGUUCGAAGAGGAUAAAGGGAAGAAACGACCUGGCGGUAGUUCGGCGGGACAGUUUAGUUCCCAGAAGCCCCCGAAGAAGUAUCGGGUGAGGUGGUCCGAUGGCUAUGGACCUAAGCGAUGUGUGAUCUGCGGUGGAGAGCAUCGCGCAGGAAAUUAUGAGCAUAGGGCGGACGGUGCUUCAAGUGUGGUCGGGCGGGGCAUGUAAGCCAUUGCUGCCCAGAGGGAGCGUCGCCUGCACCGUUUAUUACAUUCGCCCCAGUGGCUCCGAGGCAGUUUG